AUGGAGGGCCUGGACUCUGCCACCCAGCCUUGUACACUCAGGGCACUCUGCAGUGAUGGAGACAACGUGGUCUCUCCACUGCCUGUCCAUCAGCAGCCCCCAGAGGAAAGGAUGGGGGAAGGACUGGCAUCACCCUUGCCAUCGCCAUCAUGUAKCCCACGGUGCCCUGGGCAGCCCUUGCCAUCGCACCUGGGCUGUGGGGGAAGCAAGGCAGAAAUGACUCCUCUUUGCCUCCAACCCUUCCUACUACAAAGCUUGAGUAACUUCAUUACUGGGGUCCAGAAACAAACCAAAACAACCCCAACAAUCCUCGGCUCAGUGGGCUGGAGAGGAGCUAAGACCACGCUGGAACGGCAGCCUGAACCCUCUUCCUUGCCCCUCCGACUCGCCAAUGACCAACCAAUCCCAAACACGGUAUACCGUGGCACCAAACCCAGCCCUCCUGCUGCCACAUGGAUCAGCCAGCGGGAUCUGUCUCGUCUUUCUCCCUCUGCCCUGCCCCCCCCAAAACAGAAGUGGCUGAAACCAUCCCCAUUCUCUUCUUUCGGGGCUAAGAGUCCCAAGUAUAAUCUAAGAGUCUCAAAAUACACCAACCACAGUCAAUCAAAUAGUUAAUAAUUUAAAAAUGUCAUCAUCAUAUUUACCAGCACUGUUGAAUUAUUUUAAUAUUGUUCCCCCCUCCCCCCUUGUUAUAUAUAAUAAUAUACAUAACUUAAAUGCACAUCCAUAUGAAACCCCUACAGGCUGCAUUUUUAUAAAUGAGAAACCAUAUACAUAUAAUUUGCUUUGUUGAAAUGAAAUCCAUUCCUAAAUACCUUCAGAGAACAAGAGCUUGGACAAAUGCACAGAGAAGAAGAUAAGGAACAGAAGGGGCAGAAUUAACGGAACCCCCAAAAAUGCAAAAGAACCAGCAUGGAAUGAGGAAAAGGGUGUAACCACACAUUCCAAAUUGGAAAAUAACUCUAAAGUAAUAAACUCAAUGGUUUCUCUCUUCUUUCCA
rnacentral:lncRNA from 1 species